GUGGCAUCUUAUCAGUAUCUGAACUCCUUGGUUCUUGUAAAUCAACUAACCUUGUAACUGACAAGUUAUAUACAACCAGUUUCUCAUACUUCUAUGGUCAUCUAAUCUAUCUUCUUUCUUUGCCUGUUUUAAUAGUAUAUGGUUGUUGUUGAUCAGGUGCACUAUCACCUUCUUGAUUAAGAUCCUGCACUUCAUUCCCUAG
rnacentral:lncRNA from 1 species